rnacentral:misc_RNA from 1 species
GAUGAAGAACGUAGCGAAAUGCGAUAAGUAGUGUGAAUUGCAGAAUUCAGUGAAUCAUCGAAUCUUUGAACGCACAUUGCGCCCCUUGGUAUUCCAUGGGGCAUGCCUGUUCGAGCGUCAUUUGUACCUUCAAGCUCUGCUUGGUGUUGGGUGUUUGUCUCGCCUCUGCGUGUAGACUCGCCUUAAAACAAUUGGCAGCCGGCGUAUUGAUUUCGGAGCGCAGUACAUCUCGCGCUUUGCACUCAUAACGACGACGUCAAAAAGUACAUUUUUACACUCUUGACCUCGGAUCAGGUAGGGAUACCCGCUGAACUUAAGCAUAUCAAUAAGCGGAGGA